AACAUUUCCCCAGAAAAUGGGUCGACUUUUGGGUGAGCAAUCAUUGUAGUCUUGAGUUGGCCAUUGAAAUUGUAUCGCCCAACAGUUUUGAGGUCGCCAGAGGGAAGAACACGAACAUGGUAAGGCAAAUCAUCUUCAGACAUGGCAAGAAGACGACCGUCGAAGUAAACCAACCCAGCGUUAGCAACACCAGUCCCAUGGCUAGGAUCAACAAUACCAAAAAGCCCACGAGCAUAGAAUAGCAACAGCCUAGCUAUCCCAGAGUGGCCAUGGAGCUCACCGAUGGCCUUG
rnacentral:misc_RNA from 1 species